UUGUGUGUAGUGCGGGGGAACCUGAGCGCGACGCCGCGUGAGCGAUGAAGCCCUUCGGGGUGUAAAGCUCUUUCGGCAGGGACGAUCAUGACGGUACCUGCAGAAGAAGCUGCGGCUAACUACGUGCCAGCAGCCGCGGUAAUACGUAGGCAGCGAGCGUUGUUCGGAAUUACUGGGCGUAAAGCGUGCGUAGGCGGUUGGCUAAGUUCGGUGUGAAAUCUCCCGGCUCAACUGGGAGGGUGCGCCGAAAACUGGCCGGCUAGAGUGCGGGAGAGGGAAGUGGAAUUCCUGGUGUAGCGGUGAAAUGCGUAGAUAUCAGGGGGAAGGGCGGUGGUGAAGACGGCUUCCUGGACCGUGACUGACGCUGAGGCACGA
rnacentral:rRNA from 1 species